CUUUAAGAAUAAAUCAUUAGAUUUCUCAUACAGAUCAAUGCAGUUCUAUUGAACUCCAUUGAUCUGUGUGACCUAUGCUUAUUUGGUUGAAAUCAAAUGCAGAUCCAGAGGGCAGCCAUGGAUGAAAAGGUAAGCCCUCCAACUACCUCCCUGGGGGGGGGGGGGGGGAGAGGUGAGCCACCCCACUAGACCAGCAGCAAUAUAAAGGGUCAAUAGAUGGCCGCUGCGAUCGUCACAUGCUGGCUAUUAGCAGAGACCCCCAGCUACUGAAAUUAGCUGGGGGCCACCGGGCAUGGAAAGGAGGGGGAAGUCGAUCCAGCCCUUCUAGCCCGAAGCAGGGCUAAAUGCAUGAAAAAUUCACAGUGCCCGGUGCUGCAUGUCCCGGGCGUCGGUUGAUAGGAUUUCCACAUCCCUGCCCACUAGUCAUAAGCAGUAGCCAUCAGUAAUGUUGCAGGAGGGACCAAAAACACUAAAUACUACUAGCCACAUCAUCAAGUCAGUGCCCAGAAUAAAUAAGCUACAAGAUCUAGCACACAGGACCAAUAUGAUCACCUGUUGUGAACCCAGUGGAUCUAUGGGUGGUCACUGUGCUGUAGACCACCCAGCAAAUUCUGGAUUCUAUUUCAUAAGGAGAAAGCUCAGAAAAGCACUUCUGCCUGUCAUCAACCACUAACUGAUCAGAUUGUACCUAAGACUAUGUUCAUAUCUGCGUUGAAGGUUCGUUCGGGGAGCGUUGUCACAGGAUUUGUUUUAUGAGCAGGACCUGAGAGGACAAAAAAAAUUCUGCAAGACCUGCUAAAUAACCUCAAGACACCAGUCAAUGGGAUUCAUCGCUGUCUGUUGUGCAAAGGACCAUCUGUCUCCAUUUCUUGACUCUGAUGCAGAUGUGAACGAGGUCUUGACUUAUAAGCAGCUCAUUGUGUUUUUCUACAGGCUUCAUGCCUGGGGUGAAACAAUGGAGGAAGCAUUUGAGCAAUGUGCCAUGGCCAUGUUCGGUUACAUGACAGAUAUAGAGACCGUAGAGCCUUUAGACACAGUGGAGGUGCAAAUUGAAGGGCAUGAUAUGAUGUCCUUACUCUAUAACUUCCUAGACGCCUGGCUCUAUAAGUUCAGCGCUGAUCAGUACUUCAUACCCCGGGAGGUGAAGGUGCUACAUAUAGACAGAAUAAACUUCAAGAUACGUUCUAUUGGGUGGGGAGAAGAAUUUAGCUUAUCCAAGCACCCCCAGGGCACAGAAGUGAAAGCUAUUACAUAUUCAGCCAUGCAGAUAUGUGAAGAAGAGAAGCCUGAGGUGUUUGUCAUUAUUGAUAUCUGAAGCUUAGUAGAGUCAUCUUGAAAAGAUGUCUGAAAUAGAGGGAAGACAGAAGACUACUACAUAAAUAUUGAGAUACCAUAUCUUCUGCACUUUUUAACAUGAUUGAGAGAAUGGAGAGUUUACAGUACAAAGCAGUUUCUUACCCUAUGCAAAAAUGGACUAUACUCAAUCAUGUAGCAGAAUCGUCCUUGAAGUUCCAACUCUGCUCCCGCUCGUUUUCAGGUGGCAGUACUAGGGGCUGGUCAUCCCCAAAAUCAAAGUUGACAUUAUCCAAACCUGCUUCUGAAAGACAAGGAUGACACAGGCGAUAUCUUCUUGUCCCAUCUUGAAUCACUCGACCUGUGACCUCUGUAACCGGUAAUUUGCAUCGUCUACAGAUGAGCUUGCCAGCUUCAUGGAUCUAGAUAGAGGAUAUUGAAAAAUGGUAAACUAUUGAAUGCUGCAUACCCAUAAUUCAUACAUAUCAUUAAAUGGGGUAUAGCUAAUUCGGCUGCAGGCUUCAUUCACACUUCUUUAACUGGAACUAGUGGGAUUGCCUUAUAGCCUUUUGAGAACGCUGUUGUAACACCGAAACAUGUUGGGGAGGGCGUGAUCUUAUAUAUUAAAACAUACUGGGAGUCAUUUACUAAUGUGAUCCCGACUUUUUUUCUCUUAUGAUCAAAAAAAAUCCAACCAACUCUCAGUUUUUACCCACAUGCCCACCCCCAAGAGGCGUGGCCUCUGGGGGGUGUUUAUAAAAGGAAAAUACCAACAAAUGUACUUAUUUUACCCAUAUAAAAAUGUGGUGGAUUUAAGCUCUGUAAAAUUGGACCAGCUCAAUCUGAAUGAGACCAAUAUAUUGAGGGAAUUUGUAUCAAUAUAUACUCGUAGAUCACCCACAAGGGGGAUCCACUGAAACCCUUAAUUUAUUACCCAUGAAUCCCUAAAUAAACUUUACCACAAACUCAAAAGGGUUAAAAAUUAAGUGCUCA